AUAGCCCCCGGCGCCCUGCCCCACACCCGGCCUCUGUUUGCAGCUUGCUCGGAUCUCGGGCUUUCCCGGACCCUGGGAGCAGCAGCCCCCACCCAGCAACCCAGGAGCACUUUCCCCAGUGGGCCCAUGGGGCAGAGUCUGCAGCCAGAGCCGUCCGGGGAGAGGAGCGGUGGAAGGAAGCCGGCUGAGACGGCCGGGGAGGGGUCUGAGCUGGAACACGGCCUCUGUGUGAUUGUGGACAGCUUCUACAGAUACGCCGAGGGCCCGCCUGGAGCGAAGGUGCUGGACCAGGCGGCUUUCCAGAACCUGCUCAGCAACGAGUUGAGCCAUCAG